AUGCUUGUUGCAAAUCUUGCAGCAGCAUUUGAGGUAACUCAGACUCAACCAAAACUUGUUGAAAUUGUUACAUCACUUCCGAGUAUACCUGUUACAUCAGUUCAUAGUUCACAUGUUACUUCAGCUCACAGUGCACCUGUUACAUCUUCACAAAUUGACUCUGGUAUAACAUAUUCUACACCAGACUAUAUAUUAUAUGCAUCUGUUCCAACAACUAAUGAAGUACUUGCUGCACCUAUUUCUACUACUCCUAGAUUUCUAAAACUAGUUGAGUCUAUUUAA